rnacentral:rRNA from 1 species
GAUGAACGCUGGCGGCGUGCUUAACACAUGCAAGUCGAACGAUGAAGCCCAGCUUGCUGGGUGGAUUAGUGGCGAACGGGUGAGUAACACGUGAGUAACCUGCCCUUAACUCUGGGAUAAGCCUGGGAAACUAGGUCUAAUACCGGAUAGGAGCGCCUACCGCAUGGUGGGUGUUGGAAAGAUUUAUCGGUUUUGGAUGGACUCGCGGCCUAUCAGCUUGUUGGUGAGGUAAUGGCUCACCAAGGCGACGACGGGUAGCCGGCCUGAGAGGGUGACCGGCCACACUGGGACUGAGACACGGCCCAGACUCCUACGGGAGGCAGCAGUGGGGAAUAUUGCACAAUGGGCGAAAGCCUGAUGCAGCGACGCCGCGUGAGGGAUGACGGCCUUCGGGUUGUAAACCUCUUUCAGUAGGGAAGAAGCGAAAGUGACGGUACCUGCAGAAGAAGCACCGGCUAACUACGUG